AGGACGAACGCUGGCGGCGUGCUUAACACAUGCAAGUCGAGCGGAAAGGCCCUUCGGGGUACUCGAGCGGCGAACGGGUGAGUAACACGUGAGUAAUCUGCCCCUAGCUCUGGGGUAGCUCCGGGAAACCGGGAUUAAUACCGGAUAUGACCACUUUAGACAUCUGCUGUGGUGGAAAGAAUUUCGGCUAGGGAUGAGCUCGCGGCCUAUCAGCUUGUUGGUGGGUAACGGCCUACCAAGGCGACGACGGGUA
rnacentral:rRNA from 1 species